rnacentral:lncRNA from 1 species
AUUGAAGAACUCUCUAAAAGGCACCUGGUGGGAAACCUACCACCUGGUGGGCGAUGUAACUUUUUGGGCAACCGACCAAAUUCACAUAGAAAUGUUGGAUCUGGCCUGCUACUUUGGACACAAAGAUGUUGUGGAGGAGCUACUCAAGGUGAGAAUACAGACUUACUUAUCAAUUGUUAAUGUAUUACACAUAAUUUUACUUAUAUAG